CACGUAGGGCGCAAGCGUUGUCCGGAAUUAUUGGGCGUAAAGAGCUCGUAGGCGGUCUGUUGCGUCCGCUGUGAAAACUCGGGGCUUAACCCCGAGCCUGCAGUGGAUACGGGCAGACUAGAGGUAGGUAGGGGAGAAUGGAAUUCCCGGUGUAGCGGUGAAAUGCGCAGAUAUCGGGAGGAACACCCGGUGGCGAAGGCGGUCUCUGGCGG
rnacentral:rRNA from 1 species